rnacentral:rRNA from 1 species
CGGGAGGCAGCAGUAGGGAAUCUUCCGCAAUGGACGAAAGUCUGACGGAGCAACGCCGCGUGAACGAUGAAGGUCUUCGGAUCGUAAAGUUCUGUUGUUAGGGAAGAACAAGUACCGUGCGAAUAGAGCGGUACCUUGACGGUACCUAACGAGGAAGCCCCGGCUAACUACGUGCCAGCAGCCGCGGUAAUACGUAGGGGGCAAGCGUUGUCCGGAAUUAUUGGGCGUAAAGCGCGCGCAGGCGGUUCCUUAAGUCUGAUGUGAAAGCCCACGGCUCAACCGUGGAGGGUCAUUGGAAACUGGGGAACUUGAGGACAGAAGAGGAGAGUGGAAUUCCACGUGUAGCGGUGAAAUGCGUAGAUAUGUGGAGGAACACCAGUGGCGAAGGCGACUCUCUGGUCUGUUUCUGACGCUGAGGUGCGAAAGCGUGGGUAGCAAACAGGAUUAGAUACCCUGGUAGUCCACGCCGUAAACGAUGAGUUCUAGGUGUUAGGGGGCUUCCACCCCUUAGUGCUGAAGUUAAC